GCUCUAGAGGACCGGAUCGAUACAGGGAAAGGGAGGAGGAGCUGGGUCUCACAGUGGUGGCAACGGCGAGAGCAGGUGGUUCCGGGAGGUUCGAACGACGGUGGAUCGAAGCCGUGGCCGAGGCGAACGCUGACGGAGGGGAUCGGCGCGGUCCGGCGAUGCAUCGAGGAUGGGCUCGAUCUGGCCCUUGUAGACGAAGCAGAGGAAGCGGGCGGAGCUCCUGGCGAAGUCUUGGCCGACGGGGAGGUCGGUGGCCACGGCGAUGCAGCAGCUAGUGGCGACGGUGCUUCGGGCGCACGCGAGGAGAAGAGAGCGACGCGAGGUGGAGAUGAAGU
rnacentral:rRNA from 1 species